AGGAGACGAGAUUGGAUCGGGUCGCGUACGUGACGCCGGCCUAGGGUGUCUGAUUGGAGAAACGCCGAGCGGCGCCGCUCGCCGGCCGGACUCCUUCUCAAAGAAGAAACGCUAGAGGAGAUUGUAGACCGAGAGACCGCGGGUGUACGUAGGGAAGAAAUGAAUGAUCUGGAGGACAUGACAUCGUAACACAAGCAAGACUCCCCAGCACAUCCUGAUUCAGGAAGCGAAGGCUGUGUCACCGCAGUCCUUUAUGACAAGGAGAACAUCUCACUGCCUCUACCCUCAUUACCUGCAUCUGCUCAAAUGUCCUCCAUGGAUCCACAGCCAAGACUGUCUUCUCCCACCCACUCUGCUCCUGUCGGGCCUCCCACAACCCACUUGGAGACAAUUUAACAGUGUGUUUCUGGAAACAAUGCUGCCUCCUUUCAGGUCUUGACUACUAGUGUUAUUCCAAUGGUAGGAAUUUCAAGCCAGAUAAUUUUUUGACAGUAUCAAGAAGUACAUAAGCUACAACCAACAAAUCUGUACACUUGGGAGGGACAAUAAUAGCAGGGACCCAGCAGAACCAUUGUGAUCCCCCCGUGUGCCAACAGAGUCCAUCCGCAUAGCCCGUGGAACUGCCCAGGACGAUUGCACUGCCCUCCUCCUUUCAGCUCACUCACCACACAGUGAUUCUCUUCUGGUCACUCCAAAACAAGACUAGCCACAAAACAGACAUCUGUAGGAGGCACAGCAAAGACCCACGGCAGGGCCUUUGUUCACUCUCACCCCUGCUGUUCUCACAUGGAGGAGGCCAGUGUCUAUGAGACACAGUAGCCGACUUGACAGUCCACUGCGG